rnacentral:sRNA from 1 species
GUGAAGUUAAUCACAAACAAACUUAUACCCCUUUGUUUGAUCGUGAAAAAUUUCUCCCAUCCCCUUUGUUCGUAUAAAUAGAUAAAAAAACCUAGCAAAUUCGCGAUUUGCUAGGUUUUU